rnacentral:rRNA from 1 species
GAGAGGACGUGGAGAAGGAGAAACGAAAGCCGCAACUUCGUGCUCGCGGGUUUCUAGGUUUAGUACUACAGGCCGCCGCCGAGGGACGGUAACGCGGAGACAUCGCUGCACCCCAACAUGGAGACACCUAGCUGCUAUACCGGCGUAUCCUCUCCUGGUAGCCGGAAAUGUCGAGUUCCUAGGUUCCGGAUAAACAUCGGUCCAUCGUCAGGACGUCGUCACUUCGCUAUGUUUGAAACUGUACGGGGUACGGACUUAAAGCUCUUUGGAGUUUACCUGUUACGUUAUCUUACACAUUGCAAAUUCUAUAUACUUAGAGACGACGAAAAGUCCAUCGUCACAACGAGACGACAUCUAACAUAUACUACCGUACACAGCAGGAGUAAAUAUGUAAACAAACCAGCUCGAAGACAAAGUUUGGCACGUAUUGUGGACUCUUUUUAACUGUUCAACACGAGAACAUAGUCAACAACAUUGAUAACGCACUAACGAGUAAUGACUGAAAACGCUUUUUACGUUUUUAAAGUACAUUAAAUAAGAAGCUUGUCAACUUUUCGAGU